UACGAAGGGUGCAAGCGUUAAUCGGAAUUAUUGGGCGUAAAGAGCUCGUAGGCGGUGUGUCGCGUCGGCCGUGAAAACCUGCAGCUUAACUGUGGGCUUGCGGUCGAUACGGGCAUCACUUGAGUUCGGCAGGGGAGACUGGAAUUCCUGGUGUAGCGGUGAAAUGCGCAGAUAUCAGGAGGAACACCGGUGGCGAAGGCGGGUCUCUGGGCCGAUACUGACGCUGAGGAGCGAAAGCAUGGGUAGCGAACAGG
rnacentral:rRNA from 1 species